CCAUGUGCUCCUUGGCUGGAGAGGGCUGCUUGUCCUGGCUGCCCUCAGGGCAGGAGGGUUUGGCAGAAGGAGUGGGGCUGCUGCUGGCGGUGGGCAAGAGGAUCUUACACUAUUAGUCACUCAGGGUGACAAACAGAAUGAGCAAGGAAAACAGACAAAGGCGAGCAGUGAAGUUCAGAUCACAUCUGAGAUUUCCCAACAAGCAAGGCUCAGCUCACUCCCUCCUCUCAUAUGAGGCUGCUGCUCUGUGGCUGCCAUCAGUCUAUGCUGAGAUGUACCCUGCCCUCCACCUGCACACUGAGCUUGAUCAGUGUGGGCAGCAGCAUUUGAUGGUCAAUGUCUGUGCUGCUUAAGGAAGACACCUUGAAGAGAACGGCCUCCAGAAGUGAGCCAAGGCUACCAAGCACUGUUGCUGCCGACAUGGCAUGAGUCCCAUCAGGAGAGAUGGGUCAGAGCAUCUCUACCCUCUCAUCCGAGACAUGUGGAUGCUCCAAGCAGUCAAUAAA